ACCCGCUGAACUUAAGCAUAUCAAUAAGCGGAGGAAAAGAAACCAACAGGGAUUGUCUUAGUAACGGCGAGUGAAGCGACAAAAGCUCAAAUUUGAAAUCUGGCACCUUCGGUGUCCGAGUUGUAAUUUGAAGAAGGUAACUUUGGAGUUGGCUCUUGUCUAUGUUCCUUGGAACAGGACGUCACAGAGGGUGAGAAUCCCGUGCGAUGAGAUGUCCAACUCUAUGUAAAGUGCUUUCGAAGAGUCGAGUUGUUUGGGAAUGCAGCUCUAAGUGGGUGGUAAAUUCCAUCUAAAGCUAAAUAUUGGCGAGAGACCGAUAGCGAACAAGUACAGUGAUGGAAAGAUGAAAAGAACUUUGAAAAGAGAGUGAAAAAGUACGUGAAAUUGUUGAAAGGGAAGGGUUUGAGAUCAGACUUGGUAUUUUGUAUGUCUUGCUUUCGGGUGGGGCCUCUGCAGUUUACUGGGCCAGCAUCGGUUUGGACGGUAGGAUAAUGACAUUGGAAUGUGGCACUACUUCGGU
rnacentral:rRNA from 2 species